rnacentral:lncRNA from 7 species
GGAAGUUGUAAAGACUUGCAGUGCAGAGGUUGCUUCUGUUUGCCUUGCUUGAGGGGGGGCAGUGUAAUCUUCAGCCCAAGGUGGAAAUGUUCUCCCAUUUCCAAGACCAGCAGAGCACCCUGUAUCCUACAUGAGAGCACCCACCUCUUCUUUUCAAGCCAAGCCAUGAAAACAAAGGAGAACCGAGCAGCAGCCAGCUUGGAAUAGCUCAGGUCCCAUGAGCACAGCAAGAAGGGGGAAUGUUUGAUUUGUGAGCCCAAGAUAGGGAGCUGCAGCAGCUGAAAUUCAGGUGUCGUGGGGACUUGCAGAGGGAAGGGGAGACCUGGACAUCUCUGUAAUUUAGGUAGCAAAGAGGCUUGAAGGAGAGCUGGUCUGCAAGUUAAUGCACAAAACAGCAGUUAGGCACCCCAGCACCCUGGUGAAUCUAAUACCAGGGACUCUGGCACAAUAUUCAUUCCAUAUCUACCUGUUCCUAUUAUUCAGAAAGAUUCUCACCUCCCCAGAAAAUUAAGCACGAAGGGCUUACUUCUACAUUCUGCUGUGAUUAUCGCUCUUCCUAAGUAUCACUGAAGUCGGUCAGCAACAGCGCUUCACAUCUGCCUUUCUGAGAAAGGGAUUUGUUCCUUGCCUACUGGAUAGCAGUGUUGUCAUCAGACUAAUCCAAACGCCCCCAGAAGAACAUCUCCUAUUUUACAGUUGCUGUAGCAUUUCCUCUUUGGACAUUUGCUGCAUAUCUGAAGAAAACAGAGAGCUUCUCCAUCCUUCUUUGGCUGAUUCCACCUGUGUUCAGGAUGCAUGAGUCAGUGCUCAUUUUGGGGAUGUAAAAUACUGCAGAUAAGUUCAAUAUCCUUAACAAAAUGUCUCAACUUCUUCAUGAGAGAGUACAGCAUUUACUUGUUGGGGUUGAAUCUUUGCAGGUUUUUUGAUGCUGGGUGUCCUGAAGAUGUUAAGAUCACAGCAAUCAGCAUUCACUGAGUGAGCGCCCACUACGUGACAGCCCAGGUGCUCCUUAAACGAGGCUUCACGAGGCAGCUCGGCCUUGUGGCUCUCAGCCUGCUCAAGUGUGUUCUCCUCACUGCAGAUACUGUGCUCUCCCUUGCAUUCCCCAGGCUCUUGUGACACCUUGGCUCACUGUGAUCCCAGCUGAGCCAAUGCGAGGAACGCAACAGGGAUGAGGCUAUAUCCCAGGGCAGAGAUCUGGGAGCUUGCCCAUCUGCCUGUGGCCCUUCACCUUAGGGGUGAACAGAUGUCACUCCGCUGUGUGACUCACUUCAAUCAGAGCUCCUGUCCAGCCUGGCUACAGCAAGCUAGACCCAAAUGCUUUAAUUAGAGCAUGCUACCAUUACACAGACCACAAAGCAAAGGGGAAAGAGGACACCUAAGAAGUUGUACAGGCUGUGGCAGAACAUGGGCUGCUUUCCCUCUGUGUUUGAGCCUAAUUACUGUACUAAGAGUCUAUCUCCGCUGGAGUCUUGGAGCCUUAAGGCUCUGUGCUGAAAGCGGGGUAAGUGCCAGUAGCAAAGCAACAGGGUACUCAGCACCAGGACAACAAAAACAUCUUCAUGAAGGCAGUGACCCGCACGACUAAUUAGCUCUGGUAGCAGCAGGACCCAGCUGUGAUGCUGAACACAGAUCUGAAGCUUGAAGAGAUGCUGGGCAGCCACAGGCAGGUUGCAAGACUGUGCCAGAAGGGAAUAGAGGAAAAUUCUGCCACCGUGACAUGAAACGGCACUCCAAAGGUGUCUUGGGCUCUCAUGCCAGCUGGCUGAGUGGUGGCAGAGCUGAGCAAUAGGGGCUAAUUUCUGGGAAACAUAAAGAUAUCUAUGCUGAAUAUUAGAUCGUAUGACCCAUUAUGUCUGUUUGCAGCCUCAACUUCACGACCAUACAGAGGCUCCAAUCUUCUGCCCUAUGACCUCAGUCAUCUGAUGGAAAGACACUUCAUUAGGAUGAAAUGGAGAGAGUAUAUUUUAGAAAAUUCACUAGCUGGGAUGGAGAAACUUCUGUUCUGCAUUUUCCCAUCUAUACUUGAGCACCAAACAUGAAGCAGACAACUCAAAUGGCAGAUAUUUUAGCCUUAACUCAU